rnacentral:lncRNA from 13 species
AGAAGCAGUAAGAAUCCGAAAGGAAGACACCACUUUAUUAUCAUGUUGAAAACUCAAAUCUAAAGCUUAGAAGAGGUGAGCCAGAGGUCAGGAGUAAACAGGUACAGGAGGCAGGAGCAAGAUGGAGAUAUGACACAUGUAUUAGUUACGGCAGUCUAAGCAAGCUGCUAUAACAAAUGAUCCAAAACUAUAAUGGUUCACCACAGUGGAAGUUCAUUUCUCUCAUCAUAUUACAGUCCAAAGUAAGUACAGGCUUAGAGCAGAAUGAGGUGGAGUUGCUCUAUUCCAGACAAUCAUUUGGGAAACUAGGUUGACAACAUCUCUGCCACUUUCAACAUAUGGCUCCAAGAUAACCUGAGGUUUCAUCAUCUUUGUUAGCUAGAAGAGAAAAAGCUCACAGAGACACUUGAAUAGGCGAGUUUAUUGGCCAGACAGAAAAUUUUCAUUCAAAUUCCAUUGGCUAUAACUCAGUUAUAUGACCUCACAUGAAAGGCAGCAAAGCUGUGUUCCUAAGAAGUGGCUAUGGAUUUUAGUGAAUGGCUAAUAACUUCUACCACAGAAGGAAAGUCAAGAACUUGUACCCUGCUUGGGGCUGAGUCACCCAGUUUUCCUAGGUAAUUUGGAUUAAACAAAAGAUCAAAGUGGACAGGUCUUGUUUCUCCCUCUGGUAAGCUGCCUAUUUUGCCUCAAUUCAUCACAACUCUCUGCAUCCACGCCCUUGCCAUGGCCUCUUUAUGGGCAGAAUAUACUUCUCUGCCUCUUGAGAGUCAUUUUGGCCAUAUGACUUGCUUUGGCCAAUGAAAUGCAGCAAAAGUGACAGUAUGUCAGUUCCAAGCUUUGGCCAUAAAAGAACUUGUGUUUCUGCUUUCUCUCUUGGGUUCUUGCCAUCACAAGAUGGCAAAUGAGAAGAAUAUACCUAGACUAUCCCACCGAUCCCAGGAGGAAGAUGAAAAACACAUGGAACAAAAGCAAAUUGCCCCAGCUGAACCCAGCCCAGAUCAGCUGACCCCAGGCAACCCCCAGAUUGUCCUUCAUGACAUGUAGACAUAGAAACUGUCAACACCUGUGACGUGACAAGAAGUUCCAUAAGAUCUAUAAAAGCCAUUGGCGGGAGGGGACUCAAGAUGGCGCUGUGAGAACAACCCAGGAUUGGAGCCCGCGUUGAAUUCGCAAACGGUGAGUCAGUGCUGCAUUUCCAGACUGAUCUUUGUUGCCCACAGAACGGGGAAACUCCCAAGUAUAAAAAGACACAGGACGCCAGGCAGUAGGUCUGCCUGGCGAAGCCGGCA